UAAGUCCUGCCUCUAAUAUGCAGAAUGUUUCCAAAGUCUCAGUGCAGCUUUAAAUUAUUGAAGCUUAAAACUGCACUAAGACUUUUGAGAUUCUUUUUAUACUAGUUGUGUGACCCUGG
rnacentral:precursor_RNA from 15 species